UACAGAGGCCCCGAGCGUUAAUCGGAAUUACUGGGCUUAAAGGGUGCGUAGGCGGACCAGAAAGUGCUUUGUGAAAGCCCCCGGCUCAACCGGGGAACUGCGGGGCAUACUGCUGGUCUUGAGGCAAGUAAGGGUUGCGAGAACUGUAGGUGGAGCGGUGAAAUGCGUAGAUAUCUGGAGGAAUACCGGUGGCGAAGGCGGCAUCCUGGACCGACAUUGACGCUGAUGAGCGAAAGCUAGGGGAGCAAACGGG
rnacentral:rRNA from 1 species